UACGUAGGGGGCAAGCGUUGUCCGGAAUCAUUGGGCGUAAAGCGCGUGUAGGCGGCCCGAUAAGUCCGCUGUGAAAGUCCAGGGCUCAACCCUGGAAUGCCGGUGGAAACUGUCGGGCUGGAGUCCGGAAGAGGAGAGUGGAAUUCCCGGUGUAGCGGUGAAAUGCGCAGAUAUCGGGAAGAACACCUAUGGCGAAGGCAGCUCUCUGGGACGGUACUGACGCUGAGACGCGAAAGCGUGGGGGAGCGAACAGG
rnacentral:rRNA from 1 species